AGGCAGAAGUAAAGUGUGCGUACAUUAUACUAGGAUGUUGUUCUUGUUGUUGUAAUUUUGGUCUAGAACUCCCAUAUAUGUAUCAUGUAUUUAGAUUGUUUGGCAUGAAACAGUUAAGCUGAGGGUUUAUCGAAAACAACCCCUCGACCUCACUACUUUUACGAGGUAGAGGUGAAGUCUGUGUACAUUAUACUAGGAUGUUGUUGUUGUUGUAAUUUUGGUCUAAAAUUCCCAUUUAUGUAUCAUGUUUUCGGAUUGUUUCACGUGUACUAGUUAAGUUGAGGGUCUAUCGAAAACAGACCCUCUACCUCUCUACUUUUACGAGGUAGAGGUGAAGUCUGCAUACAUUAUACUAUGAUGUUGUUGUGGUAAUUUUGGCCUAAAACUUAUCUUAAAAAUUUUCUUGAAUUUUCUUGAAAUAUGAUUGUGUAUAUAUAUAUGUUUUGAACCCCUCGACCUCACUACUUUUACGAGGUAGAGGUGAAGUCUGUGUACAUUAUACUAGGAUGUUGUUGUUGUUGUAAUUUUGGUCUAAAAUUCCCAUAUAUGUAUCAUGUUUUCGGAUUGUUUCACGUGUACCAGUUAAGUUGAGGGUUUAUCGAAAACAGACCCUCUACCUCUCUACUUUUACGAGGUAGAGGUGAAGUCUGCGUACAUUAUACUAUGAUGUUGUUGUGGUAAUUUUGGCCUAAAACUUAUCUUAAAAAUUUUCUUGAAUUUUCUUGAAAUAUGAUUGUGUAUAUAUAUAUGUUUUAAUUAUUUUUCAG
rnacentral:lncRNA from 1 species